UGGGGAAUCUUGGACAAUGGGGGCAACCCUGAUCCAGCCAUGCCGCGUGAGUGAUUAAGGACCUAGGGUCGUAAAGCUCUUUCGCCUGUGAAGAUAAUGACGGUAGCAGGUAAAGAAACCCCGGCUAACUCCGUGCCAGCAGGCGCGGUAAUACGGAGGGGGUUAGCGUUGUUCGGAAUUACUGGGCGUAAAGCGCAUGUAGGCGGAUCUUUAAGUCGGGGGUGAAAUCCCGGGGCUCAACCCCGGAACUGCCUUCGAUACUGGGGAUCUUGAGGACGAGAGAGGUGAGUGGAAUUCCGAGUGUAGAGGUGAAAUUCGUAGAUAUUCGGAGGAACACCAGUGGCGAAGGCGGCUCACUGGCGCGAUACUGACGCUGAGAUGCGAAAGCGUGUGGAGCAAACAGGAUUAGAUACCCCGGUAGUCC
rnacentral:rRNA from 1 species